CGUCACUACUUUUCCUGCAGUUCAAGGAACCUUCCCGCUCUUGCCCUGUCUAUCUCGUCCCCCCCCCUCCCCCCCAUGUCUCGUGCUCCAGUGUGAGAUGCAACGGUGCCUGCCUUUGGUGGGUUUGAAGGGGGGUUCCUGUGUAACAGGUGGCAGACAGAAGUUCAGUAAGUCCCUACGAAUAACGUUCCGUUUGUUCUUGAGGCUUUCAGAAGAUCUGACUGGGAUAUACCCUCCUGCCUGUGCGAGAGUCGCUCAUAUUUUCCUUGGCAGUGCGGCGUGAGUGGUUGCCCCCAUGUGGGUGCCAACGGGACAGCCCCUCUACUAGGGAAUUCUAGUUCUGAUGCUCUUACUCCAGUCUGCACUGACCAGAACAAGAUGCAGCAUUUCAGACGGAGCUGCAACAAACAUUGGCUGAAACAAGAAUCUACAUGAGUGUAACAAGGCUAAUUUUUCAGCGGUGGCGUCAGGCUGGUUGCUGUUGUAUGCUUGUUGCUGUGGUGCGCUGUUUGGUGCUGCAUGAACGAGAAUCACGUAAUUACCGUGUAAGGUGUUCACGUGUGUGCGCGUUCGUGCGAUGAAGGCCGACCUGUGAUUUGGUUGAGAAUGAACCCUAGCAGUGCCCAUGGUGACAUUAAGAACAGGCAGGCCACAUUAUUGGAGGUACCUCAUGACGACCCAUCAGGAAGUUUUCCACAAAUAGAACACGCAGGGGUGCAGGGAUCCAGGGCAAAGCCUGGCUAAAUACCUGUCCAUGAAGUAUGUCCCGUGUUACGACCACUUGAAAAUUGACGAGGUGUUGAAGUUGAAUGCUUUCUAAGCGGGCUUCCUCCGAGUGCUUUAGCACGACCAAAAGAAAACUACGAGUGGCUCUGCUCUAGAUGACCUUUUACGGCCCCCCCAACGUUGGCAACGUCGAUAAGGAAUGUAUCGUGUCCAUAAAUUGAAUCAAGGGUGUAAAAUGCAACAGAUCUGUUUCCUGCCCGCUGCAGCGAAUGAGCCAUCUGUUUCUGUUGCCAUAUUGGAAAGAGAAUAUCGCUUUUCACGCCAAUGACCAGGGCAGGCAUACGCACUCGGCGCAGACCAU
rnacentral:lncRNA from 1 species